GGGGCGCCAGCGCUGACGCGGGGCGGCUUCCGGGCGCGGGGCUGCCGGCUCCCCCGCCCCAGGGUGGUUCCCGCCGCCUGUUGCCUUGUAUGGUCUGAGGACGCCGCAGUACCCGGGGCCCCGCCCGACGCGGCCCCGACCCACAGUCGGGCCUGUCGGGUCUCCCGGGCCCGACCCCUCCUUGGAGCGCGAGCCCUCUAGCUUCCAAGACCUCCAAAGGGCGAGAUCCCGCAAUGCCGGACUUCUCGAGUCCCGACGGGCCAAGACUCUGCAGUUCCGAGGUUCUGGGGCCCCGGAAAGCCAGAAUGCUGCGUUUUGCUGCCCCUGUGAACAGCCGGGCCUGGUGACGUCACUUCCUGCCAGGUAAGCGCCGCGGGCCGCUCGGUCUGCGCAAAGGUUUUGGAGAGCGAUCCGUCUUCCGCGCCUAUCCUGCUUCUGAGAGCCCACGCCACCCUCCCCGCUCUUCACUGCUUCUAGACCGCGGAAAACCCGGGAUUCCAGUUUACACAGAUUCCUUUUAUUUAAAAAUUCCAGAAACCACAAAAAUAAACUUUCAACAAUAUAUUACUUAAUAUAUUAUUAUAGUAUACUUAUAACAAUAAUUAUUCCAUCGUUUCCAAUAUUACAAAAAGGAGGAAGAAAAAUACAAGGGAAGCAGACGACCCAUAUAUAUAAAUACUAUAAAAUCUAAUAGAAUAAAUAAAGUCGUCAUAAAUAAGGGUCCCAAUGGGUGGG